UACGUAGGUGGCAAGCGGUGUCCGGAUUUAUUGGGUUUAAAGGGUGCGUAGGCGGCUUAUUAAGUCAGUGGUGAAAUACUCUAGCUCAACUAGAGGGGUGCCAUUGAUACUGAUGAGCUUGAGUACAGAUGAGGUAGGCGGAAUUGACGGUGUAGCGGUGAAAUGCUUAGAUAUCGUCAAGAACACCUAUAGCGAAGGCAGCUUACUAGGCUGUAACUGACGCUGAGGCACGAAGGUGUGGGGAUCAAACAGG
rnacentral:rRNA from 1 species